GUUGGUUUGUGGGAUGAGAGCAUAUCUGAUAUGUUGGAGCUGGGUGGAGGAAGAGGAAAUCUCUGCCUGUCCAUCUCAGCCCUCGGUGCCUACGCCUUAUUGCUGAGCUUUGGUAGGAAUGAAAGGAAUAAAGUGUAAAGAGGGAGACCAGGAUGUGCAGUGCUCCACAAGGCAACAUGAUGGGAUUCUGCAGAGAAAUGCUAAAUACCUGAGAGAUAGAGACCACUUCUGCUACAUAAGAUCAGGUGAAAUGAGCUGGAGAAGAAGGUUAGUAGCACCAGCUUAGCUACUCCAGGCUGAGUUAGGGUCCAGAGUAAGGA